GAUUGUAAUUUCUUUUCUACAAUCGCGGCUG
rnacentral:ncRNA from 1 species